GCUUAACACAUGCAAGUCGAGGGGCAGCAUGGUCUUAGCUUGCUAAGGCCGAUGGCGACCGGCGCACGGGUGAGUAACACGUAUCCAACCUGCCGUCUACUCUUGGACAGCCUUCUGAAAGGAAGAUUAAUACAAGAUGGCAUCAUGAGUCCGCAUGUUCACAUGAUUAAAGGUAUUCCGGUAGACGAUGGGGAUGCGUUCCAUUAGAUAGUAGGCGGGGUAACGGCCCACCUAGUCUUCGAUGGAUAGGGGUUCUGAGAGGAAGGUCCCCCACAUUGGAACUGAGACACGGUCCAAACUCCUACGGGAGGCAGCAGUGAGGAAUAUUGGUCAAUGGGCGAGGGCCUGAACCAGCCAAGUAGCGUGAAGGAUGACUGCCUUAUGGGUUGUAAACUUCUUUUAUAAAGGAAUAAAGUCGGGUAUGGAUACCCGUUUGCAUGUACUUUAUGAAUAAGGAUCGGCUAACUCCGUGCCAGCAGCCGCGGUAAUACGGAGGAUUCGAGCGUUAUCCGGAUUUAUUGGGUUUAAAGGGAGCGUAGAUGGAUGUUUAAGUCAGUUGUGAAAGUUUGCGGCUCAACCGUAAAAUUGCAGUUGAUACUGGAUAUCUUGAGUGCAGUUGAGGCAGGCGGAAUUCGUGGUGUAGCGGUGAAAUGCUUAGAUAUCACGAAGAACUCCGAUUGCGAAGGCAGCCUGCUAAGCUGCAACUGACAUUGAGGCUCGAAAGUGUGGGUAUCAAACAGGAUUAGAUACCCUGGUAGUCCACACGGUAAACGAUGAAUACUCGCUGUUUGCGAUAUACGGCAAGCGGCCAAGCGAAAGCGUUAAGUAUUCCACCUGGGGAGUACGCCGGCAACGGUGAAACUCAAAGGAAUUGACGGGGGCCCGCACAAGCGGAGGAACAUGUGGUUUAAUUCGAUGAUACGCGAGGAACCUUACCCGGGCUUAAAUUGCAGAUGAAUUACGGUGAAAGCCGUAAGCCGCAAGGCAUCUGUGAAGGUGCUGCAUGGUUGUCGUCAGCUCGUGCCGUGAGGUGUCGGCUUAAGUGCCAUAACGAGCGCAACCCUUGUUGUCAGUUACUAACAGGUUCUGCUGAGGACUCUGACAAGACUGCCAUCGUAAGAUGUGAGGAAGGUGGGGAUGACGUCAAAUCAGCACGGCCCUUACGUCCGGGGCUACACACGUGUUACAAUGGGGGGUACAGAGGGCCGCUACCACGCGAGUGGAUGCCAAUCCCAAAAACCUCUCUCAGUUCGGACUGGAGUCUGCAACCCGACUCCACGAAGCUGGAUUCGCUAGUAAUCGCGCAUCAGCCACGGCGCGGUGAAUACGUUCCCGGGCCUUGUACACACCGCCCGUCAAGCCAUGGGAGCCGGGGGUACCUGAAGUGCGUAACCGCGAGGAGCGCCCUAGGGUAAAACUGGUGACUGGGGCUAAG
rnacentral:rRNA from 1 species